CACGUAGGGUGCGAGCGUUGUCCGGAAUUAUUGGGCGUAAAGAGCUCGUAGGCGGUGUGUCGCGUCGGCCGUGAAAACUUGCAGCUUAACUGUGGGCGUGCGGUCGAUACGGGCAUCACUGGAGUUCGGCAGGGGAGACUGGAAUUCCUGGUGUAGCGGUGAAAUGCGCAGAUAUCAGGAGGAACACCGGUGGCGAAGGCGGUUCUCUGGGCCUGUACUGACGCUGAGGAGCGAAAGCGUGGGGAGCGAACAGG
rnacentral:rRNA from 1 species